UGAGCAAACCAAGGCUUGGAGAGGUUAGGUAACUUAGCCAGUUUUGUGGGCUGGUGUUAGGAGAGGUCCAAUUCUGUGGGACCCCAAAGCCUGUGUUGUCUUCUUUCAGCUAUACAUCUCACCCAAAUUUGGGAUUUGUUUCUUAGCCUUUUAGGUGCUAUUACCAGGAAAGUGGUGGGAAGGACCCUGAGAAGAAGCAGUCCCCAAGAACAAGGGGUUAGAAUAUUUUAGGGGGCGGUAUUGUUGUUUGUUAGCUUAGCUCUCUGCACCUGCAGGGCCCUUUGGCUGUAUGUUCAUCAUUUUCUCAUCAGCUCGAAGGAAGUGCUGACCAGGGAGGUAGUAGGAAUCAAUAUAUAAAAGAAGCUCCAGUCAAACCAAUUAAUUAGUUCUUUCUCUUAGAGAACGCUUCUCUCCAACAACUGCUUUCACGUUGCUACUUCCUACUCUAGCUUUGUACAUUUUAUCAAGGCUCUUAGAAAUAAUUACCCCGAAGAUAGGUCCCGAAUAUCUCUGACUCUGCUCUAGCCCAGGGAAAAUAAUGUUCUAGAGUUACUCUACCUUUUGAUUCUUGAUUGCUCUGAAGCCAGAUCAGUGUCCAUGUGUGCAUGGGAUCAGUGUGUGUGUGUGGGUGUGUGUUCUUGUGGUACCGUGUUCUCAAGGCAAUAUGUAAUUAGCCACAGUUAGCCAUGGUUGACUUUUGCAAGGUUCUCCAUGUAGUUUCAGUUCCAUCAGAGAAGUCAUUAGCACAGGUGAGGGUGUUGAGGGCAGCACCAGGACUGAUAGGCAGUUCCUGGAAGUUCCCAAGGAGAAGGAGAUGCACCUGCUGCAUCGUCUCCCUUUACCCACUGCACACUUUGCUGCAGAUCUUCCUGUCCCAGAUCUACCUAGGAGGGCUCCUAACCAUAUCCUCUUCAUCCAAAUAGUGAACAGACAGUUGAGAGCUAACUGGCUGCCAAGUGAUUUACCUGCAUUAAAUGACUUGAUCCUUAUCUGUGAAGUUAGGAAAAAUGAUUCUUAUUAAUUUUACCAAUGAGGAAACCAUGACCCUGGCUGGUUAAUAAUUGGCCCUAGCUCAUAAACUGAGGGGCUGGGAUUCAAAUACUGGACUGAUUCCUAGUUGAGGCUUUAUUGAGGGAGGAUGUAGUAAACCUUAUUUAUUUUUUAAUCACUAGGAAAAUAUAGCAUAGCCUUGAAACAUCAAACACACAGGCUAUGUUAUUAUUUUAAGUAAUAGGUAGUAGAAAGGAAACAAGAUCCUAAUCAGCAUGAUGCCAGUGCUGAGGAAGGACGAUGGCAUGGCCCAGAGGCCUCUGGCCUGACAGGAAGUGGUAUUUGGUAAAGCUGCCCCUCCUUUGAACUGAGGGAUCCAUAGCUUCCUUGUGGUCAUUGUUGCCGGGGCAUCUUCACAGGGGCUCUGCAAUUUCAGGGGGCUAAGUAAGCUAUGCUUGCCACGCUUAGAUUCUCAUUCCAUUUACUUGGGAAAAAACAAACAGAUAAAAAACAGAUCUCCCCAAAUUCAGUGCUUUACAACUCGUCCUAAUUAAGGAGGCAAGAAUCUAAGUUAUACUGUUCAUUCCCAGACCCUGAUACAUAUUAUAAUUCAAAUCCCCUUUCCUUUCAAGGGCAAAGAGUCACUGCCCUUCACAUCAUUCUCUUGCAGAACAGCAGAGGAAGACAGGGUCAGAGACCAUCAUGGCAGCUGGUGAGAGGGAAGCUCUGCUUCCCAAACCAGUGUGACAUGUGCCUCUCGUGUAUCAUGUGGGGUCCAGGCUGAAAAAUGUGAUGGGCAGGAACCUCAAGAAAAGCAAGGCCGUGCCUUAGUAGCAAGAAAGUCGCAUCCAUCAGGAGCCUCUCAAAGCUCUAAUCUUGACCGCUCCUCCCUUAGCUCCAUAUCUUAAUCAAUUUCAGGCCCUUGAAUAUUAAUAUAAAAGCAAAGCAAAGCAAAAAUACCCCCCAAAUAUUCUCUCUUCAACUUAGAUAUAACCUCAUGGCUGUUGCUUCAUGACCAAGGAAAAUGGUGUGGUGGUACUGCUGGUUGGCAACAAACACAAUUACCCCUCUUCAGACUACACCAGGUCACAGGCAGGUGAAGGGAAGCUGCCAGCCUGUUGCUACCUGUUUACCAACAGCAAUCUGGUACCUCAGAGGGCUCUCGCUUGGUAUGAUGGGGGAGAUCCGCAGUGUCAAAACAAACUCUCAUUACAUGAAAUCUGGGCUCUAGAAAAAUCUUGUGUUAGCCCUUACCUAAAUUUAGCACCUUCUUCUGUUUCCAUUUCUAUGGAUUAAAAUGCAUAAUGGAGCCAAGCAUCCAGUGGCAACUUACAUAUUAUUUAAAUUUGCUGUAAUUCUUGACUCCAUCAUUUCUUAGUUUUGCUUAAAAGAUAAAGAUGCUUUUAUUUUCAAUAGACUCCUGCUCCCAUCCCUGGUGGGCAAAAUUUCUCAUUCCCCAAUGAAUGAGAGAGAGAAAACCCUUUAUAUAUUUGAUCAUGGAAGUAAUGUGGUUUAUAUGCUUACCUGCAUACUUGCUCCCUACAUCCAUCAAGUCGUUGGUUUUGUUGUUGUAACGCAGGUGCACCAGGCUGGCUGGUCCUGGAGUUUCUCCACCUGGCAGGUCAGCAUGACCUGAGCACAGCAGCACUCCAUGCACUGGAGUUUCUACUGCAUGGAGUCCUAUUUGCCCCAUAGCAACUGCGCUGCAUGGGAGUACAUGGCCCUGCAUCCUGCUGAUGUUGCCUUUCCAGACGCUCCACCACGGGAGCUACUGCCACCUGGAUAAAACCCUGUUCUGUGCCCGCCUCUGAGGUGCCCAGGUGGACUCAGGAGGGUGACCCUCCUCCUUCAUAGCACCUUCGCAGAUCAUCAAAGUCAUUGCCCCAGUGCCAAUGCUUUCUGUCACCCUGCCGUAGUGCAACUGGGAAGUUGCUAGCUUAGCAACGACAGCAAUACAAUCCUCACAGUAUUUUAGGAUACCUGUAAUUCUGAAGCUUUGGUAGUUAUUAGUAGUCAUAAAAAUCGCUAUUCUCUAUACAUUCUUUUCUUAAUAUAGCAAGUAUUAUUUCAAACAUUUAUUCUUAUAAAAUGGAACUACUUACAUAGCUAGGUGAGUUGAAAUGAUUCAUGUUAGUGAAAAGACAUAAGACAAAAAUAUUCCUUUUACUUAGAGAUGAUCCUCACCUAUGAUUGUGGAUGCAAUAUUCAGUAUUGUCUUUUCUUUUGGGGGGAUGCUUUCAAAGCUCCUUAAAUUAAAUCAGGUUUUAAAAAAUGAGUUUCAGAAUAUUGGCUGUGACUUAGGUAUCAUAGUAUGGCUUAGACAGUGACAGUAGUUUAAAUGUAGUAA
rnacentral:lncRNA from 1 species